rnacentral:tRNA from 1 species
CGAUGGUUAGUUUAGUGGUUAGAGCUUUAGUCUUGUGACCUGAAGGUCCGGGUUUGAAUUCCGCCAGGGGCAG